rnacentral:rRNA from 1 species
UACGUAGGGUGCGAGCGUUGUCCGGAAUUACUGGGCGUAAAGAGCUCGUAGGUGGUUUGUCGCGUUGUCCGUGAAAACUCACAACUCAAUUGUGGGCGUGCGGGCGAUACGGGCAGACUGGAGUACUGCAGGGGAGACUGGAAUUCCUGGUGUAGCGGUGGAAUGCGCAGAUAUCAGGAGGAACACCGGUGGCGAAGGCGGUUCUCUGGGCAUUACCUGACGCUGAGGAGCGAAAGCAUGGGGAGCGAACAGG